GUGUCACAACACACAACAAUGGUGGUGGGUUUGUAACACUUUUUUAGCUGAUAUGUGAAAGCUCUAAAGCCCCAAUAAUCUAUAGGCCGGAUUAGAUUACAAAUCCUCUGUUAUUUUCAAUGAAGUUCCAAACUGAAACCUGUUCUGUCUUCUCAUCAUAAACCUGCUCAUCAUUAUUUGAUCAUUCAUUCCCAAGCAAACCAUAGUAUAAAAAGGCCAAACCUUUAUUGGGUGCAGCUUCGGGAAGACCAAAAUCGGUGGCGAACAUUGACCAGAGACUCCGAGAGCAUCGUUUAGAAGAAGAAGAAGAAGAAGAAGAAGAAGAAGCAACCCAAAAGCCAAAGUCUUCAAAAUUUGAAGUUGUAUGAGCAAUUAAUCCGAAACCCGGUCACUCUUGUUUAUAUAAGCAUGUAUUUGUACAAGCUUCAGAGUUGACAGAUCUCUAAUCUCUUCCAGUAUUCAUACAUUGGGUAGCAAAAUGCACGGUCUUGGAAAGAAAUCAUCUGUUCAGGAGUCUGGAAAAUCUCGUUACUCAACUCCUCUGUCAAAGCUAUUAUCAUCACCAAAAUUUAAGAAAAGCGGCAAGGUUUCCCAUGUUAAAAAGGUAAAACCAAAAUCCAAGACAACGAUUGCAUCAUCCUUGUUGAAGAGAAGAAAUGCUGACUCAUCAAGGAAGGGAACAAAGAAUAAUGAUACAAGUAAGAAAUUGACAAGUAGAAAAGGACUGCAUAAAGCACGUGAUGCGGAUAAUUCAAACAAGUCAUCUUCAUUGAAACUUCAAAAGGACAAGGUCUCAAAGGAUGGCUCUGAUGAGAAAGCUGAUGAGAAAGGGGAAAAUGUUGAUGGGGAAACCAGAAUUAGGAAAAGGAGAAGAAAGAAGAAAAGCAAAAAGAAUAAAGUGGAUGUAGAUGAAACUGCUCGCUUGCAGAGGAGGACAAGGUACCUGUUAAUUAAAAUAAAGUUGGAGCAGAACCUGAUUGAUGCUUAUUCUGGUGAAGGUUGGAAGGGUCAGAGUCGAGAAAAGAUUAAGCCAGAAAGAGAACUACAGAGAGCCGAGAAUCAGAUUUUGAAGUGCAAGCUUGGAAUCCGUGAUGCUAUUUAUCAGCUGCAUUCACUAGGUUCGGUGGGAAGCAUUGCAGACUCUGUCAUUGAUCCAGAUGGAUCUGUUUUUCAUGAACAUAUAUUCUGUGCGAAGUGCAAGUUGAAUGAAGCUUUCCCCGAUAAUGAUAUUGUGUUGUGUGAUGGGACGUGCAAUGCUGCAUUCCACCAAAAAUGUCUUGAUCCUCCCUUGGAUACUGAAAAUAUUCCUCGAGGAGAUCAAGGCUGGUUUUGCAAAUUUUGUGAGUGUAAAAUGGAAAUACUAGAAGUAGUCAAUGCUCAUCUUGGGACCUGCUUUUCCAUGGAUAGUACUUGGCAGGAUGUUUUCAAGGAGGAAGCUGCUUUCCCUGAUGGUGGGAAUUUAUUAUUAAAUCCAGAUGAAGAAUGGCCUUCAGAUGAGUCUGAUGACGAUGAUUAUAAUCCAGAUAGGAAUGUAAACAGUUGUAGCGUCAGCAGGGAAGGUAGUGAUGACAAUGCAUCAGAUGAUGAAUUGUCAACUGACGGCAGCGUAGGUUCUGAUGAAUCUACUGACGGAGAUAUUGUUUCUGGCCGCAGACAGAGAAGUAGCGUUGAUUAUAAGAAGUUAUAUGAUGAAAUGUUUGGAAAGGAUGGUCUUGUGCUGGAGCAAGUUAGUGAUGAUGAAGACUGGGGUCCUGGUAAAAGAAAGCGAAGAGAAAAAGAAUCUGAUGCUGCCAGCACACUUAUGACUCUCUAUGAGAGCGAGAGAAAUCCAGGUUCUGUCCCUACAGAAGUGAAAAGUAAACCUACUACUGAUACGCAAGCCAGAAGGUCAUGUUUCCGGAUUCCUCGCAAUGCAGUUGAGAAGCUUCGCCAAGUUUUUUAUGAAAAUGAACUUCCUUCUAAAGCUGUCAAGGAUAAUCUUUCCAAAGAGUUGGGCCUUGAUCCUGAGAAGGUUAGUAAAUGGUUCAAGAACACACGUUACCUGGCUCUCAAAACCAGAAAGGCAGAGGGAACCAAAGACCUUCCCACUUCUGCUUCUGAAAUCAACAAGGAAUCCAGAUAUGAAAAUGUGACAGGAAAAGCUCCUGAUCUCAUGGAAUCUGAUUCGGAGGACAUCUCAGCUGAAACUGUGGUCCAUUCCCCAAGGAAUAUUAAGAAGUCCUUCCGGAGAAAGCAUCCAAAGUCAUUAAGUAGCCCUCUGAAGAAAAAUCAACAGAAAGGAUCUUCAUGGUUGUCACCUGCAAAGAGCAACAAGGAGGAUGGAAUGGAAUUGAGUGACGAUGUGAGCUUGAAGAAGCUUUUGAAAGGAAAAACAAAGGAGAAGCGAGCCAAAAUUAUUGCUGGAAGUGGAGGUGAGUCUCAAGUUGCAGAACUGGAAAUGGAGAGACUAUGUAAAGUCAAAAGCAGGCUAGAAAAUAUGAGACAGAUAUUACUUAAAUUUCAAACAGCCAAGGCAAAGAAAUCGAAAAAACCUCCAUUGCAUGAACAGACAGUCAUUUAUGUUCCAGUAGCAGAACUAAAAGAAAAGGUUUGAUAUUCUGAAUUGUUUUGAAUUGUCAUAUAGCAUUUUUCAGAUGCAGCAGUCGUAUCCAAAUGUUUUUCUGAGUUC